rnacentral:rRNA from 1 species
GAUGAACGCUGGCGGCAUGCCUAACACAUGCAAGUCGAUCGGUAAGGCUCUUCGGAGUACCCGAGAGGCGGACGGCGGAGUAACGCGUAGGAACACACCCUGCAGUGAGGGAUAAGACACCGAAAGGUGUUCUAAUACCGAAUACGGUCUUCGGAUUAAAGCAUUUAUGCGAUGAAGGAGUGGCCUGCGUCAUAUUAGAUAGUUGGUGAGGUAAUGGCUCACCAAGUCGAUGAUGUGUAGCUGGUCUGAGAGGAUGAUCAGCCAGACUGGAACUGAGACACGGUCCAGACUCCUACGGGAGGCAGCAGUGAGGAAUAUUUCACAAUGAGCGAAAGCUUGAUGGAGCAAUGCCGCGUGCAGGAUGAAGGCCCUCGGGUUGUAAACUGCUUUUAUAAGAGAAGAUUAUGACGGUAACUUAUGAAUAAGGGACGGCUAACUACGUG